GGUUAGCAUGGCGAUUAGAAAUUUGGUCCUGGCAGGCCUUUAGAGAAGGCUGGCCGCUCGCCCGCAGGUAGCGUGUGAGGGAGCAGUAAUCUUACUAUAGGUCCUCUCUACUCCCAAUACUGUUUAGUGAUGCCAGGAGCCGAAAUGACAUAACUCCGGCAUCACUACAGGGAGCAGAGAGGAACUGCAGGUAGAUGAGUGAGC